rnacentral:rRNA from 2 species
CUCCUACGGGAGGCAGCAGUGGGGAAUUUUGGACAAUGGGCGCAAGCCUGAUCCAGCCAUGCCGCGUGAGUGAAGAAGGCCUUCGGGUUGUAAAGCUCUUUUAGUCGGAAAGAAAGAGUUGCAAUGAAUAAUUGUGAUUUAUGACGGUACCGACAGAAAAAGCACCGGCUAACUACGUGCCAGCGCCGCGGUAA